GGGGAUGUGGCUCAGUGGUAGAGCACUUGCCUAGCAAGCAUGAAGCUCUGGGUUCAAUCCUGGCACCACCA
rnacentral:tRNA from 1 species